CAGAGUUGCAAAACUCCCAAACCAUUGUGGACGAGCCUGACAGGUGCUUCGGCAGGUCCAGGGCUGGCUGUGAAAACGCCGGCCCACGCCUGACGAAGUCAUCGAAACUCUUAUUAUUGGCAUCUCUGAGUAACUUUUAAAUAAGUCA
rnacentral:misc_RNA from 1 species